rnacentral:misc_RNA from 1 species
AUUCGGACACGGAUACAACUUGGGCGCAUUUAUUUUGCCAAACACAACAGACAGCGGCCCCUUGGGAGCAAACCUACAACAUUACAAACUCUUCAGAUGGAGACGCUGUUUGGGACUCCCUUUCCAGUGAGACCACCCUCACGGCUGGUGUCAGAGGUGUUAGGGUACAGCAGAGUGUAGGGCACAUUAACAGGACCGCGUCUGUUCUUCAGCUUCGUAUCAUUGUUCCUCUCAAUGAUCUGUUUCUCGAUCUCGACCAAGUUCUGCUGGAACUUGUAGAAAGCAUCCUUAGCCCUCUUAUCAUUGGUCCAUUCUGACGAGUUCCGCUGGCCGAGGUACACCUCAUCGGACGAGUGACGGGACAGUAUCUCGAUCAGUCCCACCCCUACCACAGUCUCAAACUGUCCCGUAAUGGUGUGGAGAAACACCUUGUCGGGAUUAUUCGUCAGUUCCUUGUACUCCGGUGAGCCUUCCUUUGGCAUGAGGCGACGGCUGAGGGUGGGGCGGUUAGGGAGGUAGCCAGCAUAGGGGUACUGGCCGAAAUUGACUGCAGCGUGUAGGGCCGAACCUACCCAGAUGAUGGUGGUGCAAAUCUUGUUGAGCUCGGAGACGUUCUGCAUCUUCGGCCACCAGUAUUCGUCUUUCUUGUCACCGUGGCCAACCUCACGAAUUUCCUUCCACCAGGCUUGUAGCUCAUUGUCUGCCCCGACACUGGCGUCGUCUGGAUAGUAGAUGGAGCAGUAGUCAGUGACCCAGGUCUCAAUUGCUGACCAGAUGGCCAGACCGUCCACCGCAUAAGGGUAGUCCUCUAUCAGCAGCCUGAGCUUGUGUGGCUUGCUAUGGUCCUCCACAGCUAGACCUCUCUUGAGAAGAUCAUCAGGGAGUCCUUGCUCGGUGAGCUUCCAAUCCUUGUAUAUCACGGAGGACAUCUCCAUUGCAAAUCUACCAGGGAACACUGUCAUUUCAAGUACACCACCAGCGCUAAUAAGAAUCUGCCUUGCCAUGGCAUUGAUGUUCAUGGUGUCACG